rnacentral:piRNA from 1 species
CUGGCUACUGAUGCAGCACAAGAGACAC